AGAGGAGGGAGAGUUGGGGAGAGUCUACUACUACUGCUGCUGCUGAUCUUUGUUGAGCCCACUUCGCGACUGGUUCGAGACCAACAACCACUGCCCGACAGCCAAACGAGGCGGCGCGGCGGCGUCGACGUCUUCAUCGUUGUGCCGCGCGACACGCCCGCUGGGCGCCCCGCUCGCCAUCAGGGCGCCUCGUUUGCGGGGGCGGGGCGAGCCUAGAGGAGGACCGGCGGGGCCAGUCCUUCAACCCGGCACCAGUGUACCGUGGCGUCCAACGACGCGGGUAUCGCGGGCGUUAUUAUUAGCGCAAUGAGAAGAUGAAUGGAGCGCGCCGUGAAUGGGAUUCACCUCUGAUCGGCGGCGGCAGCAGCGGCGGACGCGACAAAGGCGCCUCAUUAACACUCGCGGCUCCCGGAGUGGUAGCGGCAGCAGAAGCAGCAGAAGCAGCAGCUGGAGCGGCAGUCGUAGCUGUAGCAGCAGCGCCUGAGUUGCCGAGGGAGAAAAAAGGAGAUCAUGGAGAAGACCAAGAUUUUAAAUGGAAUGUGCUUUAAUCAAAAAACAUUUCCAAGAAUAAAUGCAUUAUUGCAAUACUCUUUAAAUAAACUCUUCAAUAAACAGAA